ensembl:lncRNA
UUCAGCCACACUGUCUCUGCUGACUGUUGGCGAUUGCAUCCAGGAGGAGGGCCUGUUCUACGUUGCUGGCUGGCUUGUCCGGGUCCUUCAAAAGGAGGAAAUUGUUCAGGCCUGUCCACACUGUGAGGUGCUGUUGUUGGGUGCCAGACAUCAGGACCACAGCUACGCCACAAGUGAGGACCACCCCUUCCUGGAGGCAAAAAAAUACACGGCAACGGCAAACCUAAUGAGGCCUUCGGAAGGGUUUUUCGCUGCCAUCCAGCUUUUGGAGGGGGAAUUUGGACGGAACAUCGACGCUUUCUGGCC